rnacentral:rRNA from 1 species
CACGUAGGCACCAAGCGUUGUCCGGAUUUAUUGGGCGUAAAGAGCUCGUAGGCGGUUCAGUAAGUCGGGUGUGAAAACUCAGGGCUCAACCCUGAGCUGCCACCCGAUACUGCUGUGACUUGAGUCUGGUAGGGGAGUGGGGAAUUCCUGGUGUAGCGGUGAAAUGCGCAGAUAUCAGGAGGAACACCGGUGGCGAAGGCGGAUCUCUGGGCCGAUACUGACGCUGGAGGAGCGAAAGCGUGGGGAGCGAACAGG